AACAGUCUAACAAUGUGGGAAAGGGAACAUGUUGUGGGGAGAUAACAGUUUUCAAUAAAAGCAACAGGUAAAGAUAGAAACAACAUAACUCGAAUACAAAUGAGAAAUCAGUAAAUCAAUAGUUGCAUGGCACCACCCUUCGUGCUUUUACUCUCGUCUGCACUAAACAAUGCACGACAUCACCCUUCGUUCUUGCACUCUCUUUCCUCACCAUAUAAUCAUUAGGAUUUGGCACGGAAUGGUAUAUCACGCGGCACGAUAUCACCCUUUGUGCUUU
rnacentral:lncRNA from 1 species